rnacentral:tRNA from 1 species
AUCUCUUGAGUAUGAACUAGUACAGUUGCCUUCCAAGCAGAAAGAUUAAACAUUUUUAAAAGAGAUA